rnacentral:rRNA from 1 species
UAAAGCGUGCGCAGGCGGUUUUGUAAGACUGUCGUGAAAUCCCCGGGCUCAACCUGGGAAUGGCGAUGGUGACUGCAAGGCUAGAGUUUGGCAGAGGGGGUAGAAUUCCACGUGUAGCAGUGAAAUGCGUAGAUAUGUGGAGGAACACCGAUGGCGAAGGCAGCCCCCUGGGUCAAAACUGACGCUCAUGCACGAAAGCGUGGGGAGCAAACAGGAUUAGAUACCCCGGU